UAAGCGGAGGAAAAGAAACUAACAAGGAUUUCCCCUAGUAACUGCGAGUGAAGCGGGAAAAGCUCAAAUUUGGAAUCUGGUGGUCUUUGGCCAUNCGAGUUGUAAUUUAGAGAAGCGUCUUCCGCGCUGGACCGUGCACAAGUCUCCUGGAAUGGAGCGUCAUAGAGGGUGAGAAUCCCGUCUUUGGCAUGGAAUCCCAGGGCUUCUGUGAUGCGCUCUCGACGAGUCGAGUUGUUUGGGAAUGCAGCUCAAAAUGGGUGGUGAACUCCAUCUAAAGCUAAAUAUUGGCGAGAGACCGAUAGCGAACAAGUACCGUGAGGGAAAGAUGAAAAGCACUUUGGAAAGAGAGUGAAACAGUACGUGAAAUUGUAGAAAGGGAAACGCUUGAAGUCAGUCGCGUCGACCGAGACUCAGCCUUGCCUCGGCUUGGUGUACUUCUCGGCUUGACGGGUCAGCAUCGAUUUCAAUCCUCGGAUAAUGGCAAGGGAAAGGUAGCACCUUUUUAGGUGUGUUACAGUCCUCUGUCGCAUGCGAGGGUCGGGAUCGAGGAACUCAGCACGCACCUCAGGGUGUCGGGGCCUUGGCCCACGUUUACGUGCUUAGGAUGCUGGCGUAAUGGCUUUAAACGACC
rnacentral:rRNA from 1 species